GAGUGCCCAGCAGUAUCUCAUGGUGUAGAGAUUCCAGAUUCUGUUCCAAGGAUUAAAUGUGAAGUAUGCAAAAAAGCAAUACCAAUGAUUAUACUGAGGGAACAUAUGGAUAGUUGUCAUGAAGAAAAUGAUGAGGUAACAAUUGUCAGUGUUGAAAAAAUGGUACCACCA